rnacentral:lncRNA from 1 species
CUCCGUCGCUCUCCUCUCUCUCCCUCUCUGACUCGUCGCUGCUCUAUCCCUCUCUAUCCCGGUGGCCGUCGCCGUUUCUCCUACUCUUUCCUGUUGCCGGUCGCUGUCCACCUCACCGGCAGCUGGAUCCACUCUCCCACAUCCUUUCUCUCCCGCCGCCUCUCUCUCUCUCUUGCCGCCACUCGUCGUCGCCGCCUCUCUCUCUCCCGUCACCGCUGACGGAGAACGACGCGCAGGGCUCGGUGGCCGACAGUAGGGGUGAAAACGGUACGGAAACGGAUGGAAACGACCUUUAACAUUUUCGUUUUCAUAUUUUUUCCGAAAUCGGAAUCGGAAACACCGGAAACGAAAAUGGAAACGAAUAGUAUCGAAACCGAAAACGGAGCGAAAACGAACCGGCGCGGAUACGAUAACGAAAAUUUAUCGGAAUACAAAAACCCCUCAAACUUUUGUCAAGUCCAAUUCUCAAGUCUCAACAGUCAACAAUUCAUCAUAAAACACAAUUAUAUCAAGACUAAUUGUUUAGUAUCAACAGCAAAAUAUAUUCUUCUAUAACUUCAUAUAAUUUGCAUAACAAAUAUUCUAAAAGAAUACAGCAAAACACAAUGGUAUAAGGUAUACACAAUUCAGGUGCUAUACUGCUAUCAGCCUAUCUCUCCAGGAAAUGGGUUUGAGAACAACAACAGAACAUCAGUCCAUCAAUACUUAGUUCAUCAAUCAUCACAGAACAGCAACUUCUACUCUUGCCACUGCACCCACAUUUGUGGUAGGAUCUCCUACAUUUGCAAGGGUUGGUUGUGAUGCUGGCAAAGCUACAAUGCCCGCAUUGCAUACACUUGCACUGCUGCUACUUGCAUUUGAUGAUUCCAUCACAAAUCUGCAGCAUAAAAGAAAUCAAAUCAAUGGUUUAGGCUCAAGACCACAGUCUGUCCUUAGCUGGACAUAGUAGCAUAUAUUAUUUUUCAGCUGCAUUUGUAUUAUUCCCCACAAACAAAGCAGUAUUUCUAUAAUUGGAGUGCUUGGCAAAUGGCAAUAGAGCAUAUUAAUAACUUCUACAAAAUUAACAGAACAAAAUAAAAUCCAGAAGCAAGAAGGCAUAAACAUAUAAAGAAAAUAAAACCUACACAGUAUUCAAGCUCCCUACACAGAAUGUAAUAUAACCAAGCUCCUUAGUACAAAGAAAAUAAAAGACAUCAAUCAUUCAACAUUCACUCAAAUAUAUAGAGCCUACACAGUAACACUAACACAGAGUGACAGAGGUGGAGGUUAAGGAAUGAGGAAUAACACCUGCUGGUUGCUCAGUUGCUGCCGCUGGGCUGCUGGCUACUGCGAGGCGAGGAGUCGUCGGCGUUGGUGGCGGUGAGGAAGAGUCGCCAGUGGGGCUUGAGGUGUCAUCGGUGGUGGUGGCUGUCGCGUCGUCGUCGGUGGUGGUGGCGGCGGUGAAACGGCGAGACGUGGCGGGACGGCGUCGUGAGAUAACGGGGACCGAGCAGGCCGGCGGAGGUGCGAGAUGGUGGCGGCGGCCAGCGGCGAAACGGCGAAGAGCGAGGGCGGCGCGAGAUGGUGGGGGCGAGGAUAGGACGGCGGACCAGGUGGCGAGCGGUGGCGCGGGCGGUGGGCGCGGGGGCGCGCGAUGCCGCGAUCUGGAUGCACCACAGCCGCCGCUCCGCCGCCGGCUCGCGUUUGCGUCUGUCUGUCUCUCUCCUCUCUAGGGUUAGCCGGUUAGAGACUUGAGUUAGGGUAGAUGCCGCGAUUUGGGUUGCGCUGGAAAGUUGGGGAUGAAUUAUGGACUAUUGAAUCUAUGGGCCUUUUUAACUU